UUGAAUUUUAAUGAAGAGUUUGGUUGUAGCUGGCCCAUUCAUUUGGGCAUGUGCACACCUUCCUCUUUCAUCCCACACACACCUGUGAACCUGUGAGACAGAGAUGGGGAAUUUACUUGCUGCUUUUUGGAAUACAAAGGCAAUAGGUUAUUGGACCCCCCCUCUGUCUACUCAAUUAAUAUAAACUCAAUUUAUUUUAAAACGAAUGCAAUGGAUGUAACACAUCUCAUAC
rnacentral:misc_RNA from 1 species